CCUACGGGUGGCAGCAGUGGGGAAUAUUGCACAAUGGGGGAAACCCUGAUGCAGCGACGCCGCGUGAGUGAAGAAGUAAUUCGUUAUGUAAAGCUCUAUCAGCAGGGAAGAAAAUGAUGGUACUUGAGUAAGAAGCACCGGCUAACUACGAGCCAGCAGCAGCGGUAAUACGUAGGGGGCAAGCGUUAUCCGGAUGUACUGGGUGUAAGGGGGGCGUAGACGGCAGGGCAAGUCUGAAGUGAAAGGCUGGGGCUCAACCCCCGGAUUGCACUGGAAACUGUCAGGCUAGAGUACAGGAGAGGUAAGCGGAAUUCCUAGUGUAGCGGUGAAAUGCGUAGAUAUUAGGAGGAACACCAGUGGCGAAGGCGGCUUACUGGACUGUAACUGACGUUGAGGCUCGAAAGCGUGGGGAGCAAACAGGAUUAGAUACCCUAGUAGUC
rnacentral:rRNA from 1 species